AAACAUUGAGUUAUAAUAUUUGAAGUAAUUUCCAUAAUUUUGACAAAUAAUAAAUAUUGUAUUUACUUGCUUUGCAAACAUUCCCGUAAACACUCCUAAUCACUCUCCUAGACUCCAGUCUCCUAAUCACUAUAAGCAAUUACAUUUUAAUACAUCCAUCUAAAAACAAAUAUAUUCUUAGUGCAUUCAUGGUAUAUAUUGUAUAAAAAAAAAGAGCAGACCACAAAUGUGCAGUAUAUGUUGUUGUUUUUUUUCACAUUGUUACAGUAAAAUAACAAGGAACAAAGAAAAUAUAAUGGUAGAAAAUAAUUCAGUGGACUGAGAGCUUGCCAUAGAUAUUCCUUUUAUAGCAUGUCAGCAGGAUGUUCGAUAACAGUAUAUCAUUGUUUGCAUAUUUCAAACUUCUUUUACCCCUAAGAGAAGAACAAGAAAGAACUUUGCCAUGAGUAGAUUGGGUCCUUAAUGAUAAGUCAACAAGAGCUGCACAAAUCUAACAGUAAUAUAGGUUACUGGGUGAAGCGUGGCGGCGAUGAGUUUUGAUUUUUGUUUUUUUUGUAGAGUUUCCAGUCUCUCUCAUCACCUCCUGAAUCUACAGAUGAUCCAAUCAUUCCCUUCAGUUCUCUCUUCUCUUUUGAUGGUGUGAGAGAAUCUGUCCAUCAGCUGAGAGACAAACUGGCGGAUUUCUGCAAAAAGGGCCUCAAAAAGAUCUCAGACAGAGUCUCAUUCACCACCUUUGUUCCCUGGACCAGGAACGACUUCCUACAAUAUUCACACCAGUUCACUCUGGAUCUGAACACAGUGAAUAAACGCCUCUGUCUGGCUGCAAUGAACAGAGUGAUUACAUAUACUGACAAAAUCCAGCCGUAUCCUGAUCAUCCAGACAGAUUUGAUGAAUAUAAUCCUCAAGUGUUAUGUAGAGAGAGUGUGUGUGGACGCUGUUACUGGGAGAUUGAGUGCAGUGGGAUUGUGUGUAUAUCAGUGUCAUAUAAGAGCAUCAGCAGGAAGGGACAGGGUAAAGAAUGUUGGUUUGGAUCUAAUAAUCAGUCCUGGAGUUUGAUCUGCUUUCCCUCCAGUUUCUCAUUCAGACACAAUAACAAACAGACUGUUCUCUCUGUGAAGCCCAUCAGCAGUAGAAUAGGAGUGUUUGUGGAUCACAGUGCAGGAACUCUGUCCUUCUACAGUGUCUCCAGAAACACAAUGAGACUCAUCCACACAGUCCAGACCACAUUCACUCAGCCGCUCCAUCCUGGGUUUGGGGUUUAUUCUGGGUUUGCUGUUUAUAGUGGAUCAACUGUUUAUUCUGGGAAUAGGGUUGAUUAUAAAUCAUCAGUGAAACUGUGUGAAUGAAUCAGAAGAGACUGACGAGAGAUUCUACCCAUAAUGCUUUGAGCUGCAUGAUAAAUCAGUAACAGUGAGAUGUUAUAGAGUCUCUUCAUGACAUUAAUACUGCAGCUGAACUUCUGUCACUGAAAUAACAGUCAGAAUAAAUGAUCAGUGUGUGUGUGUGUGUGUCUUGCUGAGUGACAAUGCAUAUCUUUGCUUUUCUCAAACUAUUUUAUUGUCGUUUCACAUCAAUCAUUUGUAGUUACACAAACAUGAUUUGUGAGGAACAUAUAAUUGUAUAUUUUAUCUUUAAUUUGAUUUGUGCAGAAACAAUAAAACAGUGACAAAUGAGCUUCAGAUCAUAUUUUAAUUGAUGAUGAAUAUUUAAAAUGUUUGAAUGCUGUAUGAAUCAUGAAUAUAAUAAUUGAUACUUCAAAAGACUGAAAUGAGCUUCAGCAGAGUGUCUGACAUUAUAAAAUAUGACAUUAAUCAUGGCAUUUAAUAAAAUAUAUUUAUUGUAACCACAGUA